CAAGAAUUUAAGCUACAUUUACGCCGUAAUUAUUAUUUACUUACAUUUCAAUUGUUCCAAUUGUGAUUUGGCGUUUUACGCGUUAUGCGGAUCAUUAACCACAUGGCAGCAUAAAACUUAGGCUCGUUCAACACCUGUAGAGCCAUUCUAUUCUCUCUGGAAAUCAAUUUUAUAUAAUUAAUCGAACGUCACUGGACACUACCUAUUCUUCCGUCUUCGUCAGCGUCACUUCUAUUUCUUCUAUCAGAACUUCAGGAUAGCACCAAGGGUUAUCGAAGCCGAGGCACACCUAUUGUUGUACCUACCCCGAGUUAUACCAGCUUCCGAGGAACCAUCUUCAGUUAUACAACCAUCGGCAACUAAAACACCAAAAGUGUUCCUGAGUCUGACUUCAGCCAGUUUCGUCUGCUUUGGAAGCGGGAGCAAAACCAUCCACGAUCUGUUUGAUACCUUAUAUACAGCUUCUGGCGCCUGGGAUUUUUUUUUGCACACUUUUAGUUUAACCUCGACCUACACCGACGAGCGGCCGGCAACAGGUCUUUGAUCACCGCUGUAACCAGGCUACGUGUUUGUCCAGAUUUUCCUUUGUGUUUGUU